rnacentral:rRNA from 1 species
ACUCCUACGGGAGGCAGCAGUGGGAAUAUUGGACAAUGGGGAACCCGUAGCAUCCAGCCAUGCCGCGUGUGUGAAGAAGGCCUUCGGGUUGUAAAGCACUUUCAGUGGGGAGGAAAGGUUGCAGGUUAAUACCCUGUAGCUGUGACGUUACCCACAGAAGAAGCACCGGCUAACUCCGUGCCAGCAGCCGCGGUAAUACGGAGGGUGCAAGCGUUAAUCGGAAUUACUGGGCGUAAAGCGUGCGCAGGCGGUCUGUUAAGCGAGAUGUGAAAGCCCCGGCUG